rnacentral:lncRNA from 1 species
UCCUCUUCAAUUGCUGGUUUGUCAUGUUUCUCUUCAACAGCUAUCUCUUCAGAGGUCUCUUCAACCAUUGGUUCUUCAGGUUUCUCUUCAAGUGGUAGUUCAGGUGUUUCCUCCCCUGCUAGCUCUUCAGGUGUUUCUUUAGUUGUUGGUUCUUCAAGUUUCUCUUCAACAGUUGGUUCUUUAGGUUUCUCCUCAACUGGUUCUUCAGAUUUCUCCUCAAUUGUUGGUUCUUCAGGUUUCUCCAUAAUUGCUGGUAUAUCAAGUUUCUCUUCAAUAACCGGUUUUUCCACAGCUGCUGGUUUUUCAGGGUUUUUCUCAUCUUCUAGAAAGUGAGCAGCAUUGUUGCUAGUAUUGCAGGGAAUUUUAUUGUCAGUUUUUUCCUUCGAGUCUGCAACUAGCAAAUUCUGUAAGAAGAAUUUAAAGUUUCACUUAGUCUUUCAGUAGAUAAGCAGAUGUAAAUUGUUGUACAUACAUAACUAAUAGGACAGAUAAACUUUAUGACAGUGCUUGACCCUUGCCUUAUCCAAAAGAGUUACCUUUUCUGGUUUCUCCUCUUCACCUGUUGGUUCUUCAGGUUUCACCUCUUCAACUGCUGGCUCUUCAGGUUUUUCUUCACAUGCUAGUUCAUUAGGUGUUUCUUCCCGUGUUGAUUCUUUGGGUGUCUCUUCAGUUAUUGUCUUUUCAGGUUUCUCUUCAACCUUUGGUUCUUCAAGUUUCUCCUCUGCCAAUGGUUCUUCAAAUUUCUCCUCCACAGUUGGUUUUUCACGUUCUUCUUCAACUGCCAGUUCUUCAAGUUUUUUCUCAACCGCUGGUUCUUCAGGCUUCUCCAUAACAGCCAAUACUUCAGAUUUUUCUUCAAUCAUUGUUUCAUCAUUAUCUUUUUCAACUACUAGUUCUUGAGGUUUUUCCUCGACUGAUUCAUAGUCAGCAAUAUCAUUGUUGGUAUUGCAAGGAAUUGCAUUAUCUAUCUUGUCCUUUGGGUCUUCCAUUGGAAAAUUCUGCAAGAAAUUUAGAGUUCUACUUAGUAUUUAAAUAGAUAAACAUAUGUAAAUUCGUUGCACAUAUAAAGCCUAAUUUGAUGAAUAAACUUUGUGACAAUGUUUAAUCCUGACCUUCUCUAGAAGAGCUUCUGUUUCAGGUUUCUCCUCUUCAACAAUUAGUUCUUUAGGUGUCUUUUCAACCGUUGGUUCUUCAGUUUUCUCUUCAAGUGCUAAUUCUUCAGGUGUUUCCUCCCCUUCUAGCUCUUCAGGUGUUUCUUCAGCCGCUGGUUCUUGAGGUUCCUCCUCAACCACUGGUUCUUCAGGUUUCUCCUUAACCGCUGGUACAUCAAGUUUCUCUUCAAUAGUUGGUUCUUCAGGUUUUUCUUCAACUACUGACUCUUCAAGAUUUUCCUCAACUUGUGGAGGGUGAGCAACAUCAUUAUUGGUAUUGCAUGGAGUUUCACUGCCAGUUUUGUCGUUUGAGUCUACAACUAGCAUAUUCUGCGAAAGAAUUUAAUGUUUCACUUAGUCUAUCAAUGAAGAAGCAGAUGUGAAUCAUUGCACAUACAUAACUAAUAAGAUGGAUAAACUUUGUGACAGUGCUUGACCUCACCUUUUUGGAUGUCUCCUCUUCAAGUGCUGGUUUCUCUUCAAAUAAUAGUUCGUUAGGUGUUUCUUCCCGUUUUGGUUCUUCAGGUGCUUCUUCAGUUAUUGGUUUUGCAGCUUUCUCCUCAAUUGUCUCCUCAACCAAUGGUUCUUCAAGCUUCUCUUCCAUUGUUGUUUCUUUAGGUUUCUCUUCAAUUGCCGGUGGUUCAGGUUUUUUCUCAUCCACUGGUUCUUCUGGCUUCUCUGAAACUGCUGUUUCUUCUGAUUUCUCUUCAAUUGCUUGUUCUUCAUGUUUUUUUUCAACUACUGGCUCUUCAGUUUUUUCCUCAACUGAUGCAUAGUCAGCAAUGUCGUUGGUAUUGCAUGGAAUUGCAUUGUCUGUCUUGUCCUUUGAGUUUACAAUUGGCAAAUUAUGCAAGAAAAUUUUAAGUUUCAUUUAGUCUUUCAACAGAUAAACUUAUGUAAAUUCGUUGCACAUAUAAAGCUAAUAUGAUGGAUAGUUUUUAUGACAGUGUUUAUUUGUCACCUUCUCCUGAAGAGCUUCUGUUUCAGGUUCUUCCUCUUCAAUUGCUGGUUUUUCAUCUUUCUUUUCAACAACUAGUUCUUCAGAUGUGUCUUCAACUGUUGGUUCUUCAGGUUUCUCUUCAAGAGCUAGUUCUUCAGGUGUUUCCUCCCCUGCAAGCUCUUCAGGUGUUUCUAUAGUCGCCGGUUCUUCAGGUUUCUCUGUAAUCUCUAGUUCAGGUUUCUCCUCAACUGGUACUUCAGAUUUCUCCUCAAAUGUUGGUUCUUCAGGUUUCUCCUUAAUAGCUGGUACACCAGGUUUCUCUUCAAUGAGUGGUUCUUCAGUUUUUUCUUCAACUGCCGAUUCUUCAGGAUUUUCCUCACUGUCUGGAGAGUGUGCAACAUCAUUAUUGGUAUUGCAUGGGAUUUCACUGCCAGUUUUUUCGUUCGAGUCUACAAUUAGCAUAUUCUGCAAAAAGAAUUUAAUGUUUCACUUAGCCUUUCAAUAAAGAUGCAGAUGUGAAUCAUAGUACAUACAUAACUAACAAAAUGGAUAAACUUUGUGAUAGUGCUUGACCCUUACCUUUUCCAAAAGAGUUACCUUUUCAGGUUUCUCCUCUUCCAUGGCUGGUUCUUCAUGUAUCUCUUCAAAUGCUAGUUCCUUAGGUGUUUCUUCAAUUACUUGUUUUUCAGGUUUCUCCUCAAUUUUUGGUUCUUUGAUUGUCUCCUCAACUGAUGGUACUUCAAGCUUUUCUCCCACGGUUGGUUUUUCAGGUUUCUCUUCAACUGUCGGUUGUUCAGGUAUUUUCUCAACCGCUGGUUCUUCUGGUUUCCCCGAAACCCUUGAUUCUUCAGAUUUUUCUUCAAUUGCUGAUUCUUCAGAUAUCUCUUCAACUAUUGCUUCUUCAGUUUUUUCCUCAACUGAUGCAUAGUCAGCAAUGUCAUUGUUGGUAUUGCAUGGAAUUGCAUUGUCUAUUGUGUUCUUUGAGUUUACAAUUGGAAAAUUCUGCAAGAAAAUUUAAAGUUUCAUCUAGUCUUUCAAUAGAUAAACAUGUAAAUGCGUUGCACAUAUAAAGCUAAUAUGCUGAAUAAACUUUGUGAGAGUUAAUUCUCACCUUCUCCUUAAGAGCUUCCAUUUCAGGUUCCUCCUCUUCAAUUGCUGUUUUUUCAACUUUCUCUUCAACAACUAGCUCUUCAGAUGUAUCUUCAACCGUUGGUUCUUCAGGUUUCUCUUCAAGUGCUAGUUCUUCAGGUGUUUCUAUUGCUGCCGGUUCUUGAGGUUUCUCUUCAGUCUCUGGUUCUUGAGGUUUCUCCUCAGCUGGUACUUCAGAUUUCUCCUCAAAUGUUGGUUUCUCCUCAACUGCUGGUACAUCAGGUUUCUCUUCAAUGACUAGUUCUUCAUUUUUUAUUUCAACUGCCGGUUCUUCAGAAUUUUCCUCAAUGUCUGGAGAGUGAGCAACAUCAUUAUUGGUAUUGCAUGGAAUUUCACUGCCAGUUUUGGUGUUCGAGUCUACAAUUAGCAUAUUCUGCAAAAAGACUUUAAUGUUUCACUUAGCCUUUCAAAAGAAGAGCAUGUGAAUCACUGUACAUGCAUAACUAACAAAAUGGAUAUACUUUGUGAUAGUACUUGACCCUUACCUUUUCCAAAAGAGUUACCUUUUCAGGUUUCUCCUCUUUCAUUGCUGGCUCUUUAUGUAUCUCUUCUAAUGCUAGUUCCUUGGGUGUUUCUUCAGUUACUUGUUUAUCAGGUUUCUCCUCAAUUUUUGGUUCUUUGAUCGUCUCCUCAACUGAUGGUUCUUCAAGCUUUUCUCCCACUGUUGGUGUUUCAGGUUUCUCUUCGAUUGUCGGUUGUUCAGGUAUUUUCUCAACCGGUGGUUCUUCUGGUUUCUCCAAAACCCUUGAUUCUUCAGAUUUCUCUUCAAUAGCUGAUUCUUCAGAUAUCUCUUCAACUUCUGGUUCUUCAGUAUUUUCCUCAACUGAUGCAUAGUCAGCAAUGUCAUUGUUGGUAUUGCAUGGAAUUGCAUUGUCUGUUGUGUUCUUUGAGUUUACAAUUGGCAAAUUCUGCAAGAAAAUUUGAAGUUCCAUUUAGUCUUUCAAUAGAUGAAACAUAUUUAAAUUCAUUGCACUUAUAAAGUUAAUAUGCUGAAUAAACUUUGUGACAG